rnacentral:rRNA from 1 species
AGCGAACGCUGGCGGCAUGCCUAACACAUGCAAGUCGAACGAAGCCUUCGGGCUUAGUGGCGUACGGGUGCGUAACGCGUGGGAAUCUGCCCUUUGGUUCGGAAUAACAGUUGGAAACGACUGCUAAUACCGGAUGAUGACGAAAGUCCAAAGAUUUAUCGCCAGAGGAUGAGCCCGCGUAGGAUUAGCUAGUUGGUGUGGUAAAGGCGCACCAAGGCGACGAUCCUAGCUGGUCUGAGAGGAUGAUCAGCCACACUGGGACUGAGACACGGCCCAGACUCCUACGGGAGGCAGCAGUGGGGAAUAUUGGACAAUGGGCGAAAGCCUGAUCCAGCAAUGCCGCGUGAGUGAUGAAGGCCCUAGGGUUGUAAAGCUCUUUUACCCGGGAUGAUAAUGACAGUACCGGGAGAAUAAGCCCCGGCUAACUCCGUGCCAGCCGCCGCCGUAA